GGUGUAUAGCUCAGUGGUAGAGUGUGUGCUUAGCAUGCAUGAGGUCCUGAGUUCAAUCCCCAGUAUCUCCA
rnacentral:tRNA from 1 species